UGGGGAAUAUUGCACAAUGGGGGAAACCCUGAUGCAGCGACGCCGCGUGGGCGACGAAGCGCUCCGGCGCGUAAAGCCCUGUCAGCAGGGAAGAAAAAAGACAGUACCUGACCAAGAAGCCCCGGCUAACUACGUGCCAGCAGCCGCGGUAAUACGUAGGGGGCAAGCGUUAUCCGGAUUCACUGGGCGUAAAGGGAGCGCAGGCGGCACGGCAAGUCUGGUGUGAAAGCCCGGGGCCCAACCCCGGGACUGCAUUGGAAACUGCCGGGCUGGAGUGCCGGAGGGGUAAGCGGAAUUCCUGGUGUAGCGGUGAAAUGCGCAGAUAUCAGGAAGAACACCGGUGGCGGAGGCGGCUUACUGGACGGCAACUGACGCUGAGGCUCGAAAGCGUGGGGAGCAAACAGG
rnacentral:rRNA from 1 species